rnacentral:rRNA from 1 species
UACGGAAGGUCCGGGCGUUAUCCGGAUUUAUUGGGUUUAAAGGGAGCGUAGGCCGGAGAUUAAGCGUGUUGUGAAAUGUAGACGCUCAACGUCUGCACUGCAGCGCGAACUGGUUUCCUUGAGUACGCACAAAGUGGGCGGAAUUCGUGGUGUAGCGGUGAAAUGCUUAGAUAUCACGAAGAACUCCGAUUGCGAAGGCAGCUCACUGGAGCGCAACUGACGCUGAAGCUCGAAAGUGCGGGUAUCGAACAGGAUGAGAAACCCGUGUGUCGGCUGACUGAU